rnacentral:rRNA from 1 species
GUUUGACGUUAGCGACAGAAGAAAGCACCGGCUAACUCCGUGCCAGCAGCCGCGGUAAUACGGAGGGUGCGAGCGUUAAUCGGAAUUACUGGGCGUAAAGCGCAUGCAGGUGGUUUGUUAAGUCAGAUGUGAAAGACCCGGGGCGUCAACCUACGGAAUUGCAUUUGUAAACUAGGCAGACUAGAGUACUGUAGAGGGGGGUAGGAAUUUCAGGUGUAGCGGUGAAAAUGCGUAGAGAUCUGAAGGAAUACCGGUGGCGAAGGCGGCCCCCUCGGACAGAUACUGACACUCAGAUGCGAAAGCGUGGGGAGCAAACAGGAUUAGAUACCCUGGUAG